rnacentral:lncRNA from 1 species
GAAUUUACCCUAUAUAUUAUGGGAUGCUUGAAAUAUUAUUAAGCCUUUUUUUAAAGAAACGAGUUGUUAUACGACAAAACCUAACCGUUGCACCUAAAAAUAUCACCCUUGGGUCUCUAGUUUCAGCACAUAAAGGAAAUUGGCUUCUUAAAGCUCGUAUUCUAGUGCAUCAAAAUUUGUAAUUCAGGAAAACUAAAUGAAUUCGAAACAUAUCUUAGAUCAAAUUAAACGGUUAUUUGUAAUACGUUAAGGGAGUGUUUGUAAUUCUUGAAGUUAGUCACUUGUUUUGUAAUUAGAUCAAAUUUCAACAUUUUUUUGUAAUUCAAAUAUUAAUGACUUGUGAAUUGGAA